rnacentral:rRNA from 1 species
GCUUAACAUGCAAGUCGAACGGAAAGGCCUAAAGCUUGCUUUGGGUACUCGAGUGGCGAACGGGUGAGUAACACGUGGGUGAUCUGCCCCUGACUUCGGGAUAAGCUUGGGAAACUGGGUCUAAUACCGGAUAGGACAAUCGUUUAGUGUCGGUUGUGGAAAGUUUUUUCGGUUAGGGAUGAGCCCGCGGCCUAUCAGCUUGUUGGUGGGGUAAUGGCCUACCAAGGCGUCGACGGGUAGCCGGCCUGAGAGGGUGGACGGCCACAUUGGGACUGAGAUACGGCCCAGACUCCUACGGGAGGCAGCAGUGGGGAAUAUUGCACAAUGGGCGCAAGCCUGAUGCAGCGACGCCGCGUGGGGGAUGAAGGCCUUCGGGUUGUAAACCUCUUUCGCUAGGGACGAAGCUUUUUGUGACGGUACCUAGAGAAGAAGCACCGGCUAACUACGUGCCAGCAGCCGCGGUAAUACGUAGGGUGCGAGCGUUGUCCGGAUUUACUGGGCGUAAAGAGCUCGUAGGUGGUUUGUCGCGUCGUCUGUGAAAGCCCGGUGCUUAACACCGGGUCUGCAGGCGAUACGGGCAUAACUUGAGUGCUGUAGGGGAGACUGGAAUUCCUGGUGUAGCGGUGGAAUGCGCAGAUAUCAGGAGGAACACCGAUGGCGAAGGCAGGUCUCUGGGCAGUAACUGACGCUGAGGAGCGAAAGCAUGGGGAGCGAACAGGAUUAGAUACCCUGGUAGUCCAUGCCGUAAACGGUGGGCGCUAGGUGUAGGGGUCUUCCACGACUUCUGUGCCGUAGCUAACGCAUUAAGCGCCCCGCCUGGGGAGUACGGCCGCAAGGCUAAAACUCAAAGGAAUUGACGGGGGCCCGCACAAGCGGCGGAGCAUGUGGAUUAAUUCGAUGCAACGCGAAGAACCUUACCUGGGCUUGACAUAUACAGGACCGGGCCAGAGAUGGUCUUUCCCUUUGUGGCUUGUAUACAGGUGGUGCAUGGUUGUCGUCAGCUCGUGUCGUGAGAUGUUGGGUUAAGUCCCGCACGAGCGCAACCCUUGUCUUAUGUUGCCAGCGGUUCGGUCGGGGACUCAUGAGAGACUGCCGGGGUUACUCGGAGGAGGUGGGGAUGACGU